rnacentral:rRNA from 1 species
UACGAAGGGGGCUAGCGUUGCUCGGAAUCACUGGGCGUAAAGCGCACGUAGGCGGGUUCUUAAGUCAGGGGUGAAAUCCUGGAGCUCAACUCCAGAACUGCCUUUGAUACUGGUGAGCUUGAGUCCGGAAGAGGUGAGUGGAACUGCGAGUGUAGAGGUGAAAUUCGUAGAUAUUCGCAAGAACACCAGUGGCGAAGGCGGCUCACUGGUCCGGUACUGACGCUGAGGUGCGAAAGCGUGGGGAGCAAACAGG